CAGCUCUCCGAGUGGUAGGGACGAUUAUUGGGCUUAAAGCGUCCGUAGCCGGCCCGGCAAGUCUUCCGUUAAAUCCAACGAUUCAAUCGUUGGACUGCGGGAGAUACUGUUGGGCUAGGAGGCGGGAGAGGCCGACGGUAUUCUCGGGGUAGGGGUAAAAUCCUAUAAUCCCGGGAAGACCACCAGUGGCGAAGGCGGUCGGCUAGAACGCGCUCGACGGUGAGGGACGAAAGCUGGGGGAGCGAACCGGAUUAGAUACCCGGGUAGUCCCAGCUGUAAACGAUGCGGGCUAGGUGUUGGAGCGGCUACGGGCCGCUUCAGUGCCGCAGGGAAACCAUUAAGCCCGCCGCCUGGGGAGUACGGCCGCAAGGCUGAAACUUAAAGGAAUUGGCGGGGGAGCACCACAAGGGGUGAAGCUUGCGGUUUAAUUGGAGUCAACGCCGGAAAACUUACCGGGGGCGACAGCAGGAUGAAGGCCAGAUUGAAGGUCUUGCUGGACGAGCUGAGAGGAGGUGCAUGGCCGUCGCCAGUUCGUGCCGUGAGGUGUCCUGUUAAGUCAGGCAACGAUCGAGACCCACGCCCCCUGUUGCCACCGAGGAGGUUUCUCCAAGGGGCACUCUGGGGGGACUGCCGUCGAUAAGGCGGAGGAAGGAGUGGGCCACGGCAGGUCAGUAUGCCCCGAAUCCCCCGGGCCACACGCGAGCUGCAAUGGCUGGGACAGUGGGUUCCGACCUCGAGAGGGGGAGGUAAUCCCUAAACCCAGCCGUAGUUGGGAUCGAGGGCUGAAACUCGCCCUCGUGAACAUGGAAUCCCUAGUAAUCGCGCGUCAUCAUCGCGCGGUGAAUACGUCCCCGCUCCUU
rnacentral:rRNA from 1 species